CGCUGGCGGCGUGCUUAACACAUGCAAGUCGAACGGAAAGGCCCUGCUUUUGUGGGGUGCUCGAGUGGCGAACGGGUGAGUAACACGUGAGUAACCUGCCCUUGACUUUGGGAUAACUUCAGGAAACUGGGGCUAAUACCGGAUAGGAGCUCCUGCUGCAUGGUGGGGGUUGGAAAGUUUCGGCGGUUGGGGAUGGACUCGCGGCUUAUCAGCUUGUUGGUGGGGUAGUGGCUUACCAAGGCUUUGACGGGUAGCCGGCCUGAGAGGGUGACCGGCCACAUUGGGACUGAGAUACGGCCCAGACUCCUACGGGAGGCAGCAGUGGGGAAUAUUGCACAAUGGGCGGAAGCCUGAUGCAGCAACGCCGCGUGCGGGAUGACGGCCUUCGGGUUGUAAACCGCUUUCGCCUGUGACGAAGCGUGAGUGACGGUAAUGGGUAAAGAAGCACCGGCUAACUACGUGCCAGCAGCCGCGGUGAUACGUAGGGUGCGAGCGUUGUCCGGAUUUAUUGGGCGUAAAGGGCUCGUAGGUGGUUGAUCGCGUCGGAAGUGUAAUCUUGGGGCUUAACCCUGAGCGUGCUUUCGAUACGGGUUGACUUGAGGAAGGUAGGGGAGAAUGGAAUUCCUGAUGGAGCGGUGGAAUGCGCAGAUAUCAGGAGGAACACCAGUGGCGAAGGCGGUUCUCUGGGCCUUUCCUGACGCUGAGGAGCGAAAGCGUGGGGAGCGAACAGGCUUAGAUACCCUGGUAGUCCACGCUGUAAACGGUGGGUACUAGGUGUGGGGUCCAUUCCACGGGUUCCGUGCCGUAGCUAACGCUUUAAGUACCCCGCCUGGGGAGUACGGCCGCAAGGCUAAAACUCAAAGGAAUUGACGGGGCCCCGCACAAGCGGCGGAGCAUGCGGAUUAAUUCGAUGCAACGCGUAGAACCUUACCUGGGUUUGACAUGGAUCGGGAGUGCUCAGAGAUGGGUGUGCCUCUUUUGGGGUCGGUUCACAGGUGGUGCAUGGCUGUCGUCAGCUCGUGUCGUGAGAUGUUGGGUUAAGUCCCGCAACGAGCGCAACCCUUGUUCACUGUUGCCAGCACGUUAUGGUGGGGACUCAGUGGAGACCGCCGGGGUCAACUCGGAGGAAGGUGGGGAUGACGUCAAGUCAUCAUGCCCCUUAUGUCCAGGGCUUCACGCAUGCUACAAUGGCUGGUACAGAGAGUGGCGAGCCUGUGAGGGUGAGCGAAUCUCGGAAAGCCGGUCUCAGUUCGGAUUGGGGUCUGCAACUCGACCUCAUGAAGUCGGAGUCGCUAGUAAUCGCAGAUCAGCAACGCUGCGGUGAAUACGUUCCCGGGGCUUGUACACACCGCCCGUCAAGUCAUGAAAGUUGGUAACACCCGAAGCCGGUGGCCUAACCGUUGUGGGGGAGCCGUCGAAGGUGGGACUGGUA
rnacentral:rRNA from 1 species